rnacentral:lncRNA from 1 species
UAUUCCUUACAAGUUGAUCCCCAAAAAUAUUUGGAUGAAGAUUGGGAAAAGUAUCUGGAGGAUCCUGCUUUUGAUACCAGUUACUCUACUGAGCCUUGUUGGAAAUACUCAGAUCAUCAUGAAAACAAAUACUGUGAUCUGGAGUGUAGCCAUACUUGUAACUGCAAAACGAGGUCAUCAUCAUAUUUAGAUAACUUAGUUUGGAGAGAGAGUGAAGUUAACCAUUACUAUGAACCCAAGCUUAUUAUAGAUCUUUCCAAUUGGAGAGAACAAAGCAAAGAAAAAACUGAUAAGAAAGGCAAAUCAAAAUGUGAAAGGAAUGGAUUGGUUAAAGCCCAGAUAGCGCUAGAGGAAGCAUCACAGCAACUGGCUGGAAAAGAAAGGGAAAAGAAGCAGGGAUUUGAUUUUGAUUCCUUUAUUGCAGGAACUAUUCAGCUUAGUUCCCAGCAUGAGCCUACUGAUGUUGUUGAUAAAUUAAAUGACUUGAAUAGCUCAGUGUCCCAACUAGAAUUGAAAAGUUUGAUAUCAAAGUCAGUAAGCUGAGAAAAACAGGAAAAAGGAAUGGCAAAUCUGGUUCAAUUAGAAGCCUUGUACCAAUCUUCUUGGGACAGCCAGUUUCUGAGUGGUAGGGAGGACUGUUUUUUCAUAAAUCAGUUUUGUGAGGUAAGGAAGGAUGAACAAGUUGAAAAGGAAAACACACUAGUUACUUGGAUAAGUUCUUUAGCAGGAAAGAAGAUCCUGAAAUGCUAGAAACUGAGCCAGUAGAGGAUGGGAAGCCUGGGGAGAGAGAAAUGAGGAAGGAUUUCUGAACAACAGUGGGGAGUUCCUCUUUAACAAGCAGCUCGAGUCCAUAGGCAUCCCGCAGUUUCACAGUCCAGUUGGGUCACCACUUAAGUCAAUACAGGCCACAUUAACACCUUCUGCGAUGAAAUCUUCUCCUCAAAUUCCUCAUCAAACAUACAGCAGCAUCUGAAACAUCUAAACUAA